GUAGGGUGCGAGCGUUAAUCGGAAUUACUGGGCGUAAAGGGUGCGCAGGCGGCCCCGCAAGUCAGACGUGAAAUCCCCGGGCUCAACUUGGGAAUGGCGUUUGAAACUACGGGGCUGGAGUGUGGCAGAGGGAGGUGGAAUUCCACGUGUAGCGGUGAAAUGCGUAGAGAUGUGGAGGAACACCAAUGGCGAAGGCAGCCUCCUGGGCCAACACUGACGCUCAUGCACGAAAGCGUGGGGAGCAAACAGGAUUAGAUACCCUGGUAGUCCACGCCCUAAACGAUGAUGACUAGUUGUUGGAGGAGUUAAAUCCUUUAGUAACGCAGCUAACGCGCGAAGUCAUCCGCCUGGGGAGUACGGUCGCAAGAUUAAA
rnacentral:rRNA from 1 species